rnacentral:rRNA from 1 species
CCUACGGGUGGCAGCAGUGAGGAAUAUUGGUCAAUGGGCGUAAGCCUGAACCAGCGACGCCGCGUGAGGGAUGAAGGUUCUAUGGAUCGUAAACCUCUUUUAUAAGGGAGUAAAGUGCGGGACGUGUCCCGCUUUGUAUGUACCUUAUGAAUAAGGAUAGGCUAACUCCGUCCCAGCAGCCGCGGUAAUACGGAGGAUCCGAGCGUUAUCCGGAUUUAUUGGGUUUAAGGGGUGCGUAGGCGGCCUUUUAAGUCAGGUGUGAAAGUCUGUGGCUCAACCAUAGAAUUGCCGUGGAAACUGGGAGGCUGGAGUAUGUGUGAGGCAGGCGGAAUGCGUGGUGUAGCGGUGAAAUGCUUAGAUAUCACGCAGAACCCCGAUUGCGAAGGCAGCCUGCCAAGCCAUGACUGACGCUGAUGCACGAAAGCGUGGGGAUCAAACAGGAUUAGAUACCCGGGUAGUC